GUGCUUGCUUUGGCAGCACAUAUACUAAAAUUGGAACAAUACAGAGAAGAUUAGCCUGUCCCCUGUACAAGGAUGACAUGCAAAUUCAAGAAGCAUUCCAUAUUUUU
rnacentral:snRNA from 1 species